CCUUGACAUCAGUUCCAGCGAUACCACAAGCUAUUCCUUCCUUUGACAUCAGUUCCAGUAAUAUCACAAGCUCUCCCUUCCUUGGACAUUCCCUUGAGGUCAGUUCCAACACUAUCAUAAGCUCUCCCUUCCUCGGCCAUUCCCUUGAGGUCAGUUCCAACAAUAUCGCAAGCUCUCCCUUCCUCAGCCAUUCCCUUGAGGUCAGUUCCAGUGAUACAGAAUAAACAAAGGAAACGAGAGAUAAAAAGAAGUCAAUUAGGAAGAAAUCAAAACGAAAAAAAAAAAAAAAAAAAAAAAAUUGGUGUGCUUAAGGAGCUGAUAAUUCACAUCCUGACACGAUAUAAUCACCCUCAUAUUCUUAUUCACAUCCUUAACAUCAUUUCUGUGCUUGCUCCGAGACACUGUGAGGUAAAAAAAAAAAAAUAAAUAAAAAAAAAAUAAAUAAAUAAAAAAAAAAUAAAAAAAUCGUCACCCUAAAUAAAUAAUUGCCUAAGUCACUUUCCAACAAUUUCCAGGUUUUUGUCAUCAACUUUCAAACAUGUGACGCCCAUUUUUUUAUAUAGUUGCCAUCGUCAUUCAGGGUUUGAGUGUUCUAGAAUUGGCCUUUUCAUUUCUACCUAAAUAAUAAUAAUAAUAAUAAUAAUAAUAAUAGUUGUAACAGUAAUCAGUCUUGUAUUGGCAGGGCUGGGUUACAUAAAUACAGUUACAUAAAUAGGUAUGAAAUUGUAAGAAAAAUUUAUGUUAGUUUUCUUCAGCAUUUGUUAAUAUAGCCAAACGUGUUCUUUUCUGAUUUCCUGACAAGUAGAAAAUAACGACCUAGGUGGUUUGUUUACGUAGGUGACGAUAUAUAGUUCCACCGCUGUCUAAGGGUUGACGUAUUUAUGGACCUGGAUUAGCGGACUUCCUAUUUUCCGACUACCUGAUAACAAAGGAUUUUCACGGCACCGACAAAAUGAGGCGACAAAUUGAAACGAAGACACAACAGCAGAAAGGAACCAAGUAUCAUCGUUUCUGCGGCACGUAACAUGACACACUCGAGACAUUACGAAAAGAAUGAUAAUAAAUAAAUAAAUAAAUAAAUACAGAAAAAGUUAGCCGAUGAGAGAGCUGAUAAGGAACAUUUGAGGAGUGGACCACCAAUAAUAAUAAUAACAACAACUUGAUAAUGGCAGUAGAAUCCGAGAGCCCGCCUGCCUUGACGCACACACACACACACACACACACACACACAUACACAAAAUACUACUGGCAUGUGUGAGAAAACUGAUUAACAAAAGUCUUGCUGUAUAAACUCUCUCUCUCUCUCUCUCUCUCUCUCUCUCUCUCUCUCUCUCUCUCUCUUGCUAUUAUAUAAAAAAACUCUAUAUACAAACAAACAGAUAUGGUUUUUCUGUCCAUAUCCAAUCACUAAAUUAUAUAAGAAAAUUACUAGUUAUCUUUCUCUUUGUUUCUCUCUCUCUCUCUAGGAAGGACUGACCUGCUACACCUUAUAUAUAACCUUUAAACCCAUCUUGCAAUCUCUUCCUUGUUGUAAAUUUCAACCAACUCUUUACAAGCUUCUUUAUCCAUUGUUUCAGUACCCUCUAACCUAACCUAACCUGUCCGAGCCUUUUCCUUCAUUCCUUACCCCCUGCUAACCUAACCUUUCCCAGCCAUUCCCUUCAUUCCUUACCCACUCUUAACCUACCCUAACCUUUCCUUUCAUCCCUUACCCCCUCCUAACCUAACCUAACCUUUCCCGGCCCUUCCCUUCACCCCUUAGACACUCCUAGUCUAACCCAACCUCCUUUCUUUUUCUCCAACUCCUUUUACUACCAAUACAAAUAGCUUUAUCCACAUCUAACCUAACAUAACUUGACCCUACCCUUCCCUUAGUCCCCAACUCUUUCUACUGACAAUAAAAACCCUUACUUAACUUAACCUAACUUGACCCUACCCUUCCCUUAGUCCCCAGCUCUUUCUACCGACAAUAAAAACCCUUACUUAACUUAACCUAACCUGACCCUACCCUUCCCUUAAUCCCCAACUCUUUCUACUGACAAUAAAAA